rnacentral:rRNA from 1 species
GACAGAGGGGGCAAGCGUUGCUCGGAAUCACUGGGCGUAAAGGGCGCGUAGGCGGGGUCGCAAGUCGGUCGUGAAAUCUCCGGGCUCAACUCGGGGGGGUCGGCCGAAACUGCGGGUCUUGAGGGGCGCAGAGGAGUCUGGAAUUCCCGGUGUAGCGGUGAAAUGUGUAGAGAUCGGGAGGAACACCGGUGGCGAAGGCGGGGCUCUGGGCGCAGCCUGACGCUGAGGCGCGAAAGCGUGGGGAGCAAACGGGAUUAGAUACCCCGGUAGUCCACGCGGUAAACGAUGACGACUAGGUGUGGGGGGGUCAGUCCCUUCCGUGCCGCAGCUAACGCAUUAAGUCGUCCGCCUGGGGAGUACGGCCGCAAGGUUGAAACUCAAAUGAAUUGACGG